AAAAAAAAAAAAAACUAAUGACAUUUCAGUGACGUCAUGCACAAAAUGACAAGGACAAAAACAUCGCAUUCUCUUUCUAAAUCCAUUUACUGAAUUUUCUUUGGUCCAAUACAAAUAAAAAACAAUUGACAUAUCAAUGACGUCAGACCCAAAAUGACAAGGACAGAAACAUUAAUGUUAUAGUUGUCUCUUUUUAAUGGAGAUGUAGAAUUAUCUUUAGUUUCUAGCGGUGAUUUACAUUACAAUACAAUGAAGUUUCUUGAUAGUUGUCUUCGAUACAACUUGAACAAUAUUUUGUAUAACAAGUCUCACUGGGAAUGAAUAUGGGAUUGUCUUCUAAGACAAUUUGAGAAAUUAGAAUCUAUAAAAUAAUAUAUACUUUCGAUUAUUCCAUGAUAACCAAAGGCCAGCUUAAAAUUUAAGUUUAUACAUAACUAAAUGAAGUUUCUUGAUAGUUGUCUUCGAUACAACUCUUUUACAAUAUUUCAAUCAUGAAAUGAGGGAAUAUACAAGUAACCCUACAAUGUAGAUUAUUUAAAGAGUUUCUUAAUGGUUGUCUUCGACACAAUUCUUAUGUUUUGAACAUAAGUGGGAAAUAUUAAAACGCAGUUGUUUACACGCGUAUUUUAGUUCGUAAUAGAAAUCAUUUUUGAAAAUGACUGUAACAUCGAUAUAGACUAUUUAGUUGUUACAUGGACAUACGCAGAUACAUAAGUUUCUUGACGGUUGUGUUCAAUACGAUACAACUCUCUUACAAUAUUUCAAAUGAGAGGGAAACACACUUGGAAGUAGGUACCGAUUGAGUACCUUAUCGGGAAAAUUCAUUGAAUAACAAUUGAAACAUGAAUACUUUAGUAACGUUCUGAAUGUGGAAAUACAUAGUUAUCCCACAGUGCUCACACAUUUGUAGAAUACAACAUGAUACUGCAGUUUGUACAUGAUAGUACUACAAGUACAGUUCAACCAAUAGAUGACCAAUUACACGAUAACUUACUCGACGAUUACCUAUUGGAUGACAUUAUUGCUACAAGUUUCUUGACGGUUGUCUUCGAUACAACUCCAACUAGAGUUUAGUACAACGCUAAUCACUAGACAAUAGUGACUGGAGACGUGGAGAAUGUGACGAGUAUGGAGUAAUAUUGACACAAACAAUAACAACUACAACGAUCCACGAAUUAUUAAUGGCGACUAAUGAGUUCCUUGGCGGUUGUCUUCUUUACUUAGAAUUGGUUGAAUUUACUUCCAAGAACAUUUGGCACGACAUGAAUCGAACUUGCAACAUCGUUGUACGAGUACCUACCGAACUAUUGACAAAAUAUCGACGCACACCCCACAGAGCGCACACAAUACUCAUUGUACGAGUAAUUGUUAAACAACUCCGAGCAAUGAUACUGAGAGGGAAUUACAAAUAUCUUGAAGCCUCUGAGGCAAAGUACUUAUUUAUAUAUCGAUAUGUGCCUAACCUCUUCUUAUACUGAGACGACUCCACAAAAACUAGUUAUAGAAAAAAUAUACCCAGUCAAUACUUUCAAACAUCGACACACACAGCUAGAACUAGCAGACUCCCCGUGUACUAAACUGACUUGUUGCACAGUGGUACAACAGCAACAAGUAAUGAAACUGUACUCUAUACACUCGAGGCAGAAGCAAUCGCCAUCAGCUAUAUCGGAGCUGUCAGUAAACGGGAACACUACAUUGUAAGAACUGCUGAACAUUAAGUAAAUACCGACGAGUCAGUAAUUACAACCAUAAUAAAUAGACAAGUAUAGUUCUAUUGUGGUUCUUUCAACCAAAGGAAGUGGGAGACAAUAUUUAGGUACUCCAGUUGACGAGAACUAGUUUCUUGACGGUUGUCUUCGAUACAACUUGUAAAGUUUCGUAUUAUUUAAAUACGUAGGAAACAUUUGAGACUGCAAACUAAUUGCAGGUACUGACUAGGUCAUGUCAGUCUGAAACAUCCGUGGAACUUGUAUAUUUCAUUAUCAGUUUAAAUAUUGAUAGGAAUGACCACGUCCGAGUAGAACGACAAAUAGUUGUAAGUGUAGAACUUGUUGAUUGAUAUCACGUCCAAGUUGACACAGAAAACCCGAACUAUUGUAUUUACCAUAAUACUUUAUUAAUUUGUAUAUUCAAUAUACUUGAAGUUACCGACUAGGUCAGUCGUCUUGUGGGACUUACAAUAUCUCACCUACACGGAACACUAUUAACGAUAUAUACAUAGCCUAUACAUCAUUUCCUCAGUUCACUUACAUUUCUCAGUUCUAAAUAUCGACGCACACAAUUAGAACAAACACUGAUGUCACGUUACUUGACGGUUGUCUUUAACACAACUUGGAACAAUUACGUAUUAUGUAAAUACGUAGGAAACAUUAGUUAGACUACAACCCACGCAGAUAUACUGACUAGGUGUCACCAGGUACAGUCCAACGCGAGACGGAGCACCCUCGGUGGGACUUUGAUACAAUGGAACAACUCCAGGAAGCAUGGACAACCUAAGUUUGAUGAAAUGUGUAUUACGUAUGUUCACAAUUCUAUAUGACAUUAAUUAUUGAGAAAUAUUCUCGAGAGACUGUGUUUAAAACGUGUUGAAAGAGACAAAGAAGACUGGGUAAAGCGGACCCGUGGCCUUACGCGGAGUCAUGUCCGUUUCUCGCCUCAGACGUUGUGGACAACUUUUAUUCAGGUGUAUCAUAGCAUUGCAAGAGUUGAUCAUGAAUUAAUGAGUUUCUUGACGGUUGUCUUCGAUACAAGGUUGAUCGAAUAUAAUGGAGAGGUGACAGUCAUUUCAAACACCUUCUCAUGUUAUAAACUCAAUAUUUUGGAAAUUACAAAAGUAAGAUUAUACAUUAUUCAAUGAGUUUCUUGAUGGUUGUUCUUUGAUGUAAUAUAUAUUUCACAUCACAUGAAAUACUGAAAAGGAUAUCUUGUGUAGAACGACCGUAGAGCAGCAUCCUCCUCCUCAGUCGUACAUUCUUGACAGAAUGCUCGUGGUUGACAAUGAUGCAUUUUCCCUGGACAUCGUAGCUCUCGCGAUGUGCCACCACUUGUUGAAGUCUUCGCCCGUAACCCUGGGCACGGGUUCCGCGUUAUACCCCGCAGGACUGGGUCCCUGCUGAACUUCGCCAUCUACACACUCCGGCCUACUGAAGUGUAAGAUGCCCACCCCCGCGACAUGGACGCGCCAGACAGGAAUUGCCCAAGUGAAGAGUAGAGAAGGUGACUCUACUCCCCCCAGGGCCGAGUUAAUGGGCGUGUAUGAUC